AGGGCGUGCGGCGGAUGCCUUGGCACCGAGAGGCGAAGAAGGACGCGGCAAACCUGCGAUAAGCCACGGCAAGCUGGAGGCAAGCUUACCCGUGGAUUUCCGAAUGGGGCAACCCUACCUGGCAAACCCAGGUAAUCUCCGGCUGAAUCCAUAGGCCGGAGAAGCCAACCGAGGGAACUGAAACAUCUCAGUACCUCGAGGAAGAGAAAGCAAAUAGCGAUUCCGUAAGUAGUGGCGAGCGAACGCGGAACAGCCCAAACCGUAUGUACGUAACAGGCCGUAUCCGUUGUGCAUACGGGGUUGAGGGACAUAGUGUCGAAGCAAUACGGAGCUUCGGAGAGGUUACCAAUCUGGCUUCUAGCCGAACACCGCUGGAUAAGCCGGGCCACAGAGGGUGAUAGCCCCGUAGGCGAAAGAAGACCAGACCUCUUAAGUAUGUUCCCAAGUAGCGCGGGUCACGUGGAACCCCGCGUGAAUCUGGGAGGCCCAUCUCCUAAGGCUAAAUACUACUUGGUGACCGAUAGUGAACCAGUACCGUGAGGGAAAGGUGAAAAGAACCCCGGGAGGGGAGUGAAAUAGUACCUGAAACCGCAUGCCUACAAUCAGUGGGAGGACGAUGUCUUCGGACCGUCUGACCGCGUGCCUAUUGCAUAAUGAGCCGGCGAGUUACCUUGUGUGGCCAGGCUAAGGGCUUCUGGUCCAUAGCCGUAGCGAAAGCGAGUCUGAAUAGGGCGACUAGUCGCACAGGGUAGACCCGAAACCGAGUGAUCUAUCCAUGGCCAGGGUGAAGUUUCCGUAAAAGGAAAUGGAGGCCCCAACCAAUGGCAGUUGAAAAUGCUUUGGAUGAGCUGUGGAUAGGGGUGAAAGGCCAAUCAAACUCGGAAAUAGCUGGUUCUCCUCGAAAUAGUUUUGGGACUAGCCUCGCAUGGUAGCCGACGGGGGUAGAGCACUGAAUGGGCUAGGGGUCCUACCAGACUACCGAACCCAAUCAAACUCCGAAUACCGUUGGUGGAACUGCGGGAGUCAGACUGUGGGGGAUAAGCUCCAUGGUCAAAAGGGAAAGAGCCCAGAUCGCCAGCUAAGGUCCCUAAACUGAGCUAAGUGGGAAAGGAUGUGUAACUGCCCAGACAACCAGGAUGUUGGCUUAGAAGCAGCCAUUCAUUUAAAGAGUGCGUAACAGCUCACUGGUCAAGUGAUUAUGCGCCGAAGAUGUACCGGGGCUAAGCUCAGUACCGAAGCUGCGAAUCACGCCUUCGGGCGUGAUGGUAGAGGAGCAUUCCAUUCAGGAUUGAAGCACGAUCGAAAGAACGUGUGGACCGUAUGGAAGAGAUCAUGCCGGCAUCAGUAACGAAAAAGCAGGUGAGAAACCUGCUCGCCGAAAAUCCAAGGGUUCCCGGGGAAGGAUAAUCCGCCCGGGGUUAGUCGGAGCCUAAGCCGAGGCCGAAAGGCGUAGGCGAUGGGAAACAGGCACAAAGAUUCCUGUACCACCGCGCCAUCGUUUGAGCGAUGGGGUGACGCAGGAGGAUAGGGCGGCCGUCUGUUGGCUUAGACGGUCUAAGCGUGUGGGAGGUAGCCCAGGCAAAUCCGGGCUGCAAUACUCCGAGGCGUUAAGGGACGUGGAUGGGAAACUUGAAGCGGAUCGCUCGAUUCCAUACUGCCAAGAAAAACCUCUAGCGAGGUGGCCGGUGUCCGUACCGUAAACCGACACAGGUGGAUGAGAAGAGGAUUCUAAGGCGCUCGGGAGACCACUCCUUAAGGAACUCGACCAAUUGGCCCCGUAACUUCGGAAGAAGGGGUGCUCUGGCCGGUGAAGGACUUGCUCCGUAAGCUGGCUGGAGUCGCAGCGAAGAGGUUCAGGCGACUGUUUACUAAAAACACAGGUCUCUGCAAAGUCGCAAGACGACGUAUAGGGACUGACGCCUGCCCAAUGCCGGAAGGUUAACGGGAGGAGUCAACGCUUCGGCGUGAAGCUCUGAACCGAAGCCCCGGUUAAUGGCGGCCGUAACUAUAACGGUCCUAAGGUAGCGAAAUUCCUUGUCGGGUAAGUUCCGACCUGCACGAAUGGCGUAACGAUCUGAACAUUGUCUCAAGGAGUGACCCGGUGAAGUUGUAUUACCAGUGAAGAUGCUGGUUACCCGCAGAAGGACGGAAAGACCCCGUGCACCUUUACUACAGCUUGAUAUUGACUUUCGUUUUAGCUUGUAUAGGAUAGGUGGGAGGCGUCGAGACCGGGGCGUCAGCUUCGGUGGAGCCACCCUUGGAAUACCACCCUUGUUAAAAUGGAAGCCUAACCCUGAACCCGUGAAGCCGGGCAGGGGACAGUGUCUGGUGGGUAGUUUGACUGGGGCGGUCGCCUCACAAAGAGUAACUGAGGCGCCCAAAGGUUCCCUCAGCAUGUUUGGAAAUCAUGCGCAGAGCGUAAAGGUAGAAGGGAGCUUGACUGCGAGACCAACAAGUCGAGCAGGUACGAAAGUAGGGCUUAGUGAUCCGGCGGUAUGAGAGUGGAAUUGCCGUCGCUCA
rnacentral:rRNA from 1 species